rnacentral:rRNA from 1 species
CAGUAGCGUAUAUUAAAGUUGUUGCAGUUAAAAUGCUCGUAGUUGAAGUUCGGAUGCAGCAGAGCUUGGAAACGCUGUUAUGGUGCUUCCGUUGCUUUUGCUUGUCCACAGUGCGUUGCAAGUACGUAUGUGCUUGUGCGUGCAUGUUACUUUGAGAAACAUAGGGUGUUCCACGCAUGUUACGGCAUGAAUAUUCCAGCAUGGGAUAAUCUGGUACGACUUCCAAUCUGCCAUUUUGGUUCGUAGGUUGGAAGUAAUGAUUAAUAGGGACUGUCGGGGGCAUUGGUAUUUGACUGUCAGAGGUGAAAUUCUUAGAUUCGUUGAGGACCAACCACUGCGAAAGCAUUUGUCAAGGAUGUCUCCAUUAA